GAUGAACGCUGGCGGCGUGCCUAAUACAUGCAAGUAGAACGCUGAAGGAGGAGCUUGCUCUUUCCGGAUGAGUUGCGAACGGGUGAGUAACGCGUAGGUAACCUGCCUGGUAGCGGGGGAUAACUAUUGGAAACGAUAGCUAAUACCGCAUAACAGUAGAUAUUGCAUGAUAUUUGCUUGAAAGGGGCAAUUGCUCCACUACCAGAUGGACCUGCGUUGUAUUAGCUAGUUGGUGAGGUAACGGCUCACCAAGGCGACGAUACAUAGCCGACCUGAGAGGGUGAUCGGCCACACUGGGACUGAGACACGGCCCAGACUCCUACGGGAGGCAGCAGUAGGGAAUCUUCGGCAAUGGAAGGAAGUCUGACCGAGCAACGCCGCGUGAGUGAAGAAGGUUUUCGGAUCGUAAAGCUCUGUUGUAAGAGAAGAACGAGUGUGAGAGUGGAAAGUUCACACUGUGACGGUAUCUUACCAGAAAGGGACGGCUAACUACGUG
rnacentral:rRNA from 1 species